rnacentral:rRNA from 1 species
AGGGCGCACGGUGGAUGCCUUGGCACCAGGAACCGAUGAAGGACGUGGGAGGCCGCGAUAGGCCCCGGGGAGUUGUCAACCGAGCUGUGAUCCGGGGGUGUCCGAAUGGGGGAACCCGGCAGUCGUCAUGGGCUGUCACCUGCCGCUGAAUGUAUAGGCGGUGUGGAGGGAACGCGGGGAAGUGAAACAUCUCAGUACCCGUAGGAAGAGAAAACAACCGUGAUUCCGGGAGUAGUGGUGAGCGAAACCGGAGGAGGCUAAACCGUAUGUGUGUGAGACCCGGCAGGGGUUGCGCAUGCGGGGUUGUGGGAGCUCACUUCAGUCGUCUGCCGGCGGCUGGGCGAGUCAGAAAUUGUGGGUGUAGGCGAAGGGCAUGCGAAAGGCCUGGCGUAGAGGGUAAGACCCCCGUAGCUGAAACAUCUGCAACUCGCUUGUGGGUUUCCCAAGUAGCAUGGGGCCCGAGAAAUCCUGUGUGAAUCUGGCGGGACCACCCGUCAAGCCUAAAUAUUCCCUGGUGACCGAUAGCGGAUAGUACCGUGAGGGAAUGGUGAAAAGUACCGCGGGAGCGGAGUGAAAGAGUACCUGAAACCGUGUGCCUACAAGCCGUGGGAGCGUCGCGUGGAGAUUUCGGUCUUCACGUCGUGACUGCGUGCCUUUUGAAGAAUGAGCCUGCGAGUUUGCGGCAUGUUGCGAGGUUAACCCGUGUGGGGGAGCCGUAGCGAAAGCGAGUCCGAAGAGGGCGUUGAGUAGCGUGUUCAAGACCCGAAGCGGGGUGAUCUAGCCAUGGGCAGGGUGAAGCGGCUGUAAGAGGUCGUGGAGGCCCGAACCCACCAGGGUUGAAAACCUGGGGGAUGACCUGUGGUUAGGGGUGAAAGGCCAAUCAAACUCCGUGAUAGCUGGUUCUCCCCGAAAUGCAUUUAGGUGCAGCGUCGUGUGUUUCUUGCCGGAGGUAGAGCACUGGAUAAACAGCCCAGAGCAUCGACUAAGGCCCCUAAGCGUGUGCUAAGUGGGAAAGGAUGUGGAGUCGCAGAGACAACCAGGAGGUUGGCUUAGAAGCAGCCAUCCUUGAAAGAGUGCGUAAUAGCUCACUGGUCAAGAAACGUGUGCGCCGAUUGACUAAGGGUUCCUGGGUCAAGCUGAUCUGCCCAGGGUAAGUCGGGACCUAAGGCGAGGCCGACAGGCGUAGUCGAUGGAGAACCGGUUGAUAUUCCGGUACCCGCUAUGCAGCGUCAAACAUCGAAUCAGGUGAUGCUAAGUCCGUGAUACCGCUUGUGCCGGCUUUGCCGGUGCGGGUUUGGUGGAGCCGACGGCCCGAGCUUGUAGUAGGUGAGUGAUGGGGUGACGCAGUGAGGUAGUCCAGCCCGGGUGAUGGUUGUCCCGGGGUAAGGGUGUAGCCCGGUGUGCAGGUAAAUCCGUGCGCCGUUACAGGGGUGAGACCUGAUGCCGAGCCGUUUGUGGUGAAGUGGGUGAUCCUGUGCUGUCGAGAAAAGCCUCUAGCGAGUUGUGUGGCGGCCCGUACCCUAAACCGACUCAGGUGGUCUGGUAGAGAAUACCGAGGCGUUCGGGUGAACUAUGGUUAAGUGAGCUGGGGGUGGCCGCAGAGACCAGCGAGAAGCGACUGUUUACUAAAAACACAGGUCCGUGCGAAGCCGUAAGGCGAUGUAUACGGACUGACGCCUGCCCGGUGCUGGAACGUUAAGGGGACCGGUUAGCUCCAUUUCGGUGGGGUGAAGCUGAGAACUUAAGCGCCAGUAAACGGCGGUGGUAACUAUAACCAUCCUAAGGUAGCGAAAUUCCUUGUCGGGUAAGUUCCGACCUGCACGAAUGGCGUAACGACUUCUUGACUGUCUCAACCAUAGGCCCGGUGAAAUUGCAGUACGAGUAAAGAUGCUCGUUUCGCGCAGCAGGACGGAAAGACCCCGGGACCUUUACUACAGCUUGAUAUUGGUGUUCGGUUCGGCUUGUGUAGGAUAGGUGGGAGACUGUGAAGCGGGCACGCCAGUGUUCGUGGAGUCGUUGUUGAAAUACCACUCUGGUCGUGCUGGAUGUCUAACCUGGGUCCGUGAUCCGGAUCGGGGACAGUGUCUGGUGGGUAGUUUAACUGGGGCGGUUGCCUCCUAAAGGGUAACGGAGGCGCCCAAAGGUUCCCUCAGCCUGGUUGGUCAUCAGGUGGUGAGUGUAAGUGCACAAGGGAGCUUGACUGUGAGACUGACGGGUCGAGCAGGGACGAAAGUCGGGACUAGUGAUCCGGCGGUGGCUUGUGGAAGCGCCGUCGCUCAACGGAUAAAAGGUACCCCGGGGAUAACAGGCUGAUCUUCCCCAAGAGUCCAUAUCGACGGGAUGGUUUGGCACCUCGAUGUCGGCUCGUCGCAUCCUGGGGCUGGAGUCGGUCCCAAGGGUUGGGCUGUUCGCCCAUUAAAGCGGUACGCGAGCUGGGUUUAGAACGUCGUGAGACAGUUCGGUCCCUAUCCGCUGCGCGCGUUGGAGUCUUGAGAAGGGCUGUCCCUAGUACGAGAGGACCGGGACGGACGGACCUCUGGUGUGCCAGUUGUUCUGCCAAGGGCAUGGCUGGUUGGCUACGUUCGGGAAGGAUAACCGCUGAAAGCAUCUAAGCGGGAAGCCUGCUUCGAGAUGAGGACUCCCGCCCCCUUUGAGGCACGGUAACGUGUGGAGGUGACCGGUACUAAUAGGCCGAGGGCUUGU